rnacentral:lncRNA from 1 species
UCCAGGGGAACGAACGAAGAAUAACGACGUAUUGGAUUGGAUGAAGAAAGUCAUGAUUGGAGCCAGCUGCGGUUGUCCUUGGCGACAUGGGAAGAGUGGAACUCGACAAGAUUGACAAGCGCGUCGCGGUGGGAGGAGUGAAGGGGAGUGUGAGAGACGCGCUAGGCACGGAGUGAGAUCCACGCGAGAAAGAGGAAGAUGACGAGAAGGAAUGGGAUGGGGUAAGGUCGCUGGAUGAACCAGGUGAUGAUAGAGGGACGGGUCUAUUGGGACGACGUCGUUUGGGAGUUUAUGAAGCUCAUUCUUCUCUGCGUCGCCAUUGUGUUGUUGUUCUUCUCUCUUUCUCUCUCUCUCAUUCUGCGAUUUUCGAAUUCGAUUUGGAAAUGAAAGUGGAAGAAGUCGAUUUGUUGUUCCUCUCUCUUUACUCUUUAAUUUCAUCACUAUAUUCGUUCCCUUCUUCUUCUUCACCGCAAAUUACAUUUUCACAGUGUUCGCCGCAAGGUUUAUUAUCUCCCGCAAAUGAUUAUUUUACCUUUUUACGCCAAUAUUUUAGAGACUAUUGUUGUUAUUUCAUAUUACAUUUCGUAAUUGUGCUUAAUCUUUGGUUAAUGAUAUAUGUUGUGUUAGCCGGUUAGGUUUUCAUGGUGUGUUGUGGAAUAUGGACCAAAACACAAUUGUUUUCUAGGUUUUAACUUUAUUUUUUUGUUUUCCAUCGUUGUCUUCGUAGAAUAUCUUCGAUGGCAUCCCAAAUUAUCUUUGAGUAGUCUGGAAUCAAUACAUUCGCCCAUGCUACCCAGACUAAGUUGCUUGAGCUCUUGGGAAAACUUAAACAAGAG